rnacentral:rRNA from 1 species
AGUCGUGGGGCAGCGCAGGUAGCAAUACUGGGCGGCGACCGGCAAACGGGUGCGGAACACGUACACAACCUUCCGAGAAGUGGGGAAUAGCCCAGAGAAAUUUGGAUUAAUACCCCGUAACAUAACGAUGUGGCAUCACAUUGUUAUUAUAGCUUCGGCGCUUCUUGAUGGGUGUGCGGCUGAUUAGAUAGUUGGCGGGGUAACGGCCCACCAAGUCUACGAUCAGUAGCUGAUGUGAGAGCAUGAUCAGCCACACGGGCACUGAGACACGGGCCCGACUCCUACGGGAGGCAGCAGUAAGGAAUAUUGGUCAAUGGACGCAAGUCUGAACCAGCCAUGCCGCGUGCAGGAAGACGGCCUUAUGGGUUGUAAACUGCUUUUGUCAGGGAAUAAACCCUCGUUCGUGAACGAGGCUGAAGGUACCUGAAGAAUAAGCAUCGGCUAACUCCGUGCCAGCAGCCGCGGUAAUACGGAGGAUGCGAGCGUUAUCCGGAUUCAUUGGGUUUAAAGGGUGCGCAGGCGGAUUAAUAAGUCAGUGGUGAAAUCCUACGGCUCAACCGUGGCACUGCCAUUGAUACUGUUAGUCUUGAGUAUAGUUGAAGUGGGCGGAAUGUAGCAUGUAGCGGUGAAAUGCAUAGAUAUGCUACAGAACACCAAUAGCGAAGGCAGCUCACUAAGUUAUAACUGACGCUCAUGCACGAAAGCGUGGGGAUCAAACAGGAUUAGAUACCCUGGUAGUCCACGCUGUAAACGAUGAUCACUCGUUGUUGGCGAUACACAGUCAGCGACUAAGCGAAAGUGAUAAGUGAUCCACCUGGGGAGUACGGUCGCAAGAUUGAAACUCAAAGGAAUUGACGGGGGCCCGCACAAGCGGUGGAGCAUGUGGUUUAAUUCGAUGAUACGCGAGGAACCUUACCUGGGCUCAAAUGUAAGUUGACAGAUUCUGAAAGGGAUUCUCUUCGGACAAUUUACAAGUGCUGCAUGGUUGUCGUCAGCUCGUGCCGUGAGGUGUCGGGUAGUCCCAUACGAGCGCACCCUAUCAUU